UGGGGGAAAGCGGGGGACCUUCGGGCCUCGCACUAUUGGAGCGGCCGAUAUCGGAUUAGCUAGUUGGUGGGGUAAAGGCCUACCAAGGCGACGAUCCGUAGCUGGUUUGAGAGGACGACCAGCCACACUGGGACUGAGACACGGCCCAGACUCCUACGGGAGGCAGCAGUGGGGAAUUUUGGACAAUGGGGGCAACCCUGAUCCAGCCAUCCCGCGUGUGCGAUGAAGGCCUUCGGGUUGUAAAGCACUUUUGGCAGGAAAGAAACGGCCCUGGUUAAUACCUGGGGCAACUGACGGUACCUGCAGAAUAAGCACCGGCUAACUACGUGCCAGCAGCCGCGGUAAUACGUAGGGUGCAAGCGUUAAUCGGAAUUACUGGGCGUAAAGCGUGCGCAGGCGGUUCGGAAAGAAAGAUGUGAAAUCCCAGGGCUUAACCUUGGAACUGCAUUUUUAACUACCGGGCUAGAGUGUGUCAGAGGGGAGGUGGGA
rnacentral:rRNA from 1 species